rnacentral:rRNA from 1 species
AGUGAACGCUGGCGGUAGGCCUAACACAUGCAAGUCGAACGGCAGCACAGUAAGAGCUUGCUCUUACGGGUGGCGAGUGGCGGACGGGUGAGGAAUACAUCGGAAUCUACUUUUUCGUGGGGGAUAACGUAGGGAAACUUACGCUAAUACCGCAUACGACCUACGGGUGAAAGCAGGGGAUCUUCGGACCUUGCGCGAUUGAAUGAGCCGAUGUUGGAUUAGCUAGUUGGCGGGGUAAAGGCCCACCAAGGCAACGAUGCGUAGCCGGUCUGAGAGGAUGAUCGGCCACACUGGAACUGAGACACGGUCCAGACUCCUACGGGAGGCAGCAGUAGGGAAUCUUCCGCAAUGGGCGAAAGCCUGACGCAGCAACGCCGCGUGAGUGAUGAAGGUCUUCGGAUCGUAAAACUCUGUUAUUAGGGAAGAACAUAUGUGUAAGUAACUGUGCACAUCUUGACGGUACCUAAUCAGAAAGCAACGGCUAACUACGUG